UACUUGUAAUGGCAGCACAGUGGGGACUGCAGUUCCUGGAUAGUGUACCAUUAAUAGACUGGCUAGCUAGUACUGUUUCUUGUCCCUUGGAGUGAAAGAGAAAGUAAAGCCAAAGAACAGGGAUUUAAUGCCACAUUUUUCUUCACUCAAUUGAAAAAUAUAUCUGAAAAACACUAUAAAAUUUCUGAUUUUUAAAAGGUCUUUGCAAGGUGAUUUUGGUCUUUUUCAGAUAGUGAAAGUUUUUUAAGAUAUUAAAUAAUUUAUUACUUUUACUUGUAUAGAAUAAAAGAUAACAGAAAACACAGAGAUCAAUAAAUCCUAAGACCUUCUUCAGAAGCAUUCUGGUCAGCGAAGGAGUUUCCACUUUUAAGAGGGAGAUUAGACUGGGUGAUCUUAUAUCCUUUUUAGCACAAAGUUUGUAUUGAUCUAUAAGAUUUGAAAUAUUUGAAUGCUUUCUUUUUUUUUUUUAUUGAAGUAAGAAGAUGGCCAAAUGCUUUUAUAGUAUUCCCAACUACUAGAGACUGAAUUAUAUCCCCUAAAAUUUUAUAUGGAUACUCAAAUCUCCAGUGUGACUAUAUUUGGAGAUAGGGUCUUUAGGAAGCAAAGGUUUAGGAAAUCAGGUUAUAAGAGUAGAGCUGUAAUCAGAUAGGACUGUGGCCUUAUAAGAAGAAAAAGGUAUCUCUCCUCGUUCCUCUUCUUUAUUAUUUCUCCCCCCCGCCAUUUUCCCUCUCCCUCUUCCUCUCUCUACCCGCCUUUCCCUUUACCCCAACCUUAGGACACAGUGAGAAGGCAGCCAUCUGCAAGUCAGGAAGAGAGAACCCUGACAGACACACCAACUCAGCCAGCACCUUCAUCUUGGACAUCCAGUCUUCAGAACUAGGAGAGCAUGAAUGCAGUGCCCAUAACCACAAAUUAUGCAGUAAAGGUUUUCACACUUGAGGAAAUUGCAGGGGUCAGCAGAUCAGGAGUGCAAUAGAUAAGCCUUGCCAUGGGCAAACCACCUUCAUGACCACGGUGUCUCCCCAGCCAGGUCAAGUCAAGGAAGAAAAGUACAAGAAGGCUUAUACACAAACAUCUCUAGAACUCCACUAAUUUAUAUCUGCUAGGAUCUUGAGAAUAUGUGUGGAAAUGGAUUCUAAGAGGGCCUGGUCCCGGAUGGAUCAACCUGAAUUUAUUGAUAUCGGUGCUAGAGAUUCUACAUUAAACACACUAGUUAAACAGGUGAGAGUAGUUCUAAUUCUUUACUCAGCUGGUUAAUGCAACCUGAACAAUAUAUGUUAUUCACAUAAUAUUAAUGUGAAAUGCCAUUAGUCCUUUGGACUAAAGGAGAGAAAGGAAUACAAAGAUUAAAAAUAGAAUUUCUGGAGUAGCUUUGUCAUGUGCAAUGUGACCAACCAUAUUCAUUCCCCAAUUAUCUCCUAGAAAGGGCUAGAAACUGUUUCACCAAUAACUUGAGAAGUACAAUGGCAAGGGGACUAACAGCAUAUUUGCAGAUGAAAGAAAUGUUGGUGAGAGGCACAAAAGUUCAAUGAACCCCUUGAUUUCAAUGUGGAUGAGGGAAUUCUGAGGUGGCAAAAAAACCAAGUAACAUUAGGUAAUAACAAAAAGCAUAGCUAUAUAUGUGCCAUACAGCAUCUCUCUGCCAUCACAAUCAGAAUAGUCUGAUCCACAGGGACUUAAACAAUUUUCACUUGGUCAUUGGAUAUCUAGGCCUAAAACAGAUAUAGAGUACACUAAGGUCCUACCUGAUUUGUAUUGACAAGAGCAGAAAACCAACAAACUUCAAAGCUGGUGAACAGAGAUCUGAUUGGAAGGCCCAUGAGAGUCACAAUUUCUUUUCCAUUUCUCUAACCUAAGUCAUUUCAGAGACCCAGAGCUCUUUGAAAGUAAAGAUAAUAUUGAGGCAUUUAGAAGGAAAAAUGGACCAGCUGUGGGACCUUGGGAGAUACAGGGCCUGCGGGAGCAAUGUGAGACUUUGGGGUUAUAUUUUUAUAUUUAUCAUUUCCCCAGAUAAUAUUUUGUUCAUUCCUUUGUAUUGUUAUACAAAUGGUCCAAUUUUUCAAAAGGAUGUUUAAAAAUCUUCUAAUCUUGAAGAGAAGCAUAUGAUAUGAUAUUAGAAUACCUUAAA